AACAUCCUCGAAUGAAUGGAGAAAAAAUUAUUCAGUCAAAUGACAUCUAAGACUUUGCUCCUGCAUGCCGUCAGAAAGAAUCAUGCCACACAUGCAUCCACUGAUGAACAGAUUCUAAAGCAUGCCAUUAGGUGGUUCAACCUGGCAGCAAACCGGGGUAGCUCCAGGAGGCGUGCUACUGUCGACAUCCCCCACACUGAACAGAAUUAAAAAUAUAUAUUUAUAUUUUUAUAUAUAAUAUAUAUUUAUAUUUUUAUAUAUAUAUACACACACACCAGUUCUCAGUUGGAAGUUCCACCAUUCACUUGAGGUCACUGCGACCCAUUCUCUGGGAGAAUUGUGGUAUUUGGGUUAGGUGGUCGGUAUUUAUGGUUGUAUUAGUUGUAGCUCUUGUGUUCUAAUGUGAGCUAUAGUUUUUACUCUAUAUGUAUGUGUGUAUAUAUUGUCUCGAACUAAUUAUAAAUAAAUAUGAUUCAUACAUGUACAAGAAAUAAUUUGAUGUCCUUUUAAUAAACUGUUUUUGAUAUUA